rnacentral:rRNA from 1 species
UACGAAGGGGGCGAGCGUUGUUCGGAAUCACUGGGCGUAAAGGGUGCGUAGGCGGGUCUUUAAGUCAGGGGUGAAAUCCUGGAGCUCAACUCCAGAACUGCCUUUGAUACUGAGGAUCUUGAGUUCGGGAGAGGUGAGUGGAACUGCGAGUGUAGAGGUGAAAUUCGUAGAUAUUCGCAAGAACACCAGUGGCGAAGGCGGCUCACUGGCCCGGUACUGACGCUGAGGUGCGAAAGCGUGGGGAGCAAACAGG